rnacentral:rRNA from 1 species
UACGUAGGGGGCUAGCGUUGUCCGGAAUCAUUGGGCGUAAAGAGCGUGUAGGCGGUCCGGUAAGUCCGCUGUGAAAGUCGGGGGCUCAACCCUCGAAUGCCGGUGGAUACUGUCGGGCUAGAGUACGGAAGAGGCGAGUGGAAUUCCUGGUGUAGCGGUGAAAUGGCGCAGAUAUCAAGGAGGAACACCUAUUGCGAAGGCAGCUCGCUGGGACGUAACUGACGCUGAGACGCGAAAGCGUGGGGAGCAAACAGG